CUCUACCUAAGGAAAUAGAGAAAUUGAGAAUAGAACUGGAUGAAAGCAAACAACACUUGGAACAGGAGCAGCAGAAGGCAGCCCUGGCCAGAGAGGAGUGCCUGAGACUAACAGAACUGCUGGGCGAAUCUGAGCACCAACUGCACCUCACCAGGUACUCCCUAAUCCCAUUAUGCGCCAUAGCACCGAUUUCAUUCCACUGAUUUUUGCCACAGGCUUCCAAACAGUUGUUAGAGUUAGUCUUAGUCAUUCAAUUCACACUUAGCUUUCAGGCAUAUUAAGAAAAGUGGAGAUGUGGUAAGCAAAACACCCAGACAUGUGAAUGAUAAGUGUGGCAGGGAAUUACUGAUAGAUUACAAAACCUUUCAUCUACAAUGCUCAAAUAUUUAGGUGAUUCUCUAUCAAUAUAAGCGAAAUGACAUAUUUCUCCUACCACCACUACUACCUCUUCUGCUAAUUCUACGUCUAAUAAAAAUCUUGAACUGAAGGAUGUGAGGAAUUCAUUUAGGAAAAUAAUAAAAUACUGUCAGUGGUGAGAGAGACAAAGUAAAUAAAUUGUAAGAUGCAAAUUGAAAUGGAACUGAUACAAAAUAAGGAAUCUGCAUCCUAAGGAGGUGUAAAAUUUUGAGAUGAAAUAGAUUGGCACUGCUCAUGUUCAAAUCAUUAUUAUAACCAGGCUUACACCAUUGAGGUUUCAAAUUACUUCAUUUCCAUCAUGAGAUUUUGUGAUGUGAUCAUCAUUGUCAUCAACUUUAGUAAAUAUGUAGCUCGGCCCUAAAUUACAGUAAGACUCUUUAGGUUGUAAGCAUUGUGAAUUUGCUGCAUUGGAAAAAAACAUACACACACAUACACACACACACACACACACUCACUCUUAAACUAGAGUUCCGCAUAAUUAAAAGAUGACAGUGGAAGCCAUGUACUGUGGUGCACACCUGCAGUCCCAGAAACUUGGGAGGCUGAGGUAGGAGGGUCGCUUGAGCCCAGGAGUUCAAGGCCAUCCUGGGUAACAUAGCAUGACCGCAUCUCUGGGGGAAAAAAAAAUGACAGUAUUUGAAACAAGUGCCUCGUAAGCAUGUUCACUAAACACGUCUAGCCUAGCAUGUAUGAAAACAAAGCAAGGCUGCUUUCUUCCAGUUAUUACUGUUAAUAUUAUUCAAACAACUUCUUCUUUUUCCAUAACAGACUUUCAGGUACAUUUAAAAAUGUUCAUCCAUUUAUUCACCCGUUCUACAUGGAGCAUUUUCUGUCAUAAGACGCUGUGCUAGGGAUGAAGGGAGAUAGAAAGAUAAAGAGGCCUCAGCUGCUGCCCUUCAGAAGCUUACAGGCUAGCGGGGAAGAGAAGAAAAUACAUGAGUAGAUCGGGUGUGGUGGCUCACACCUGUAAUCCCAGGACUUUGGGAGGCUGAGGCGGGCAGGUCACUUGAGCCCCAGGAGUUUGAGACCAGCCUGGGCAACGUGGCGAAACCCCAUCUCCACAAAAAAUACAAACAUUAGCUGGGCAUGGUGGUGCGCGCCUAUAGUCCCAGCUGCUCUGGAGGCUGAGGUGGGAGGAUGGCUUGAGCCCAGGAGGUCAAGGCUGCAGUGAGCUGUGAUGGCACUGCUGCACUCCAGCCUGGGCAACAGAGCAAGACCUUGUCUCUAAAAUU
rnacentral:lncRNA from 10 species